CUUCGCUCCCCGCUGAGCCGCGCUGGCCUCCAGGCAGGAGACACGGAGCCGGGGGCCACGCAGCAGAGACCCCGGGGCCUUCGCCCCCCAACGUGCCGGGGUGUAAGCCAGCCGGACGCCUGGGUCCCCGGGCCGCGGCGCCGAGCGCCACCGGCGGGGCCCGGGCCGGGAACCGCGGCGGGGAAAGCGGCAGCAGGUCGGGCCGCCGCUCGCAGGAGCCAGCGCCCAGCCCGGGCAGCUCCUCCGGCGCGGCCGUGCGAAGCUGACGGUGAGGAGACACGUCCCCCCCCACCCCCCAAAUAAAAAUCAGCGGAAACAA